AAACUUGGAGCUAAACAAAAAAAGGUGGUUCACCCGCUGUGAGCUGAAAGCAGCUGAGGACCUGUGUCUUACAGUGAUUCAGAUGUAGAGAAGUGACUGUGGCCCCGGUGUACCUGGCACUGGGUGGAGCAGGGCUUGUCCUCCAAACUAAUGUGAUCAGUAUGUUUAGCACAUUCCUGCGUGGUCAGAAUGUGGGAAAGGGAAGGAGCCGCUGCCUAGAUAAAACAAAUCUUCCAGUAGAACCAGUUCAGCAAGCUUGUCUAGUCGCACUGAGCUGGUGUAGGUUGUUCUUUACUUGUCCGAGGUGCUCCCAUGCCUCGGCUGACGGUCGUCCACACCAAAGGUCAAGGGGGCACAGGACGGUGGGGAGAGGGCGAGCCGGGACUGUAAAUGGAUGGAGGAAGUGAAAGACGACGGGGAGGGAGAACCUGUCGAGCAGAGCAGUUCAAAUCAAACACCAGCUGAAGAUCAGCCACUCUUCACAUCUUGGUCCCGGGCCCUGCGGAGGACACUGCGGCCCUCGAGGGUCUGUUGGUACAGUCUUGUUCCGGUGGUUGUAGUGUGGUGCGUCUGCCAGGCAGAGGCGCCGCUGCACCCCUCUCUCCCACUGUCAGGUGUGUGCUGGAGGCUGCUGUUGGUGUGUUCACUGUGGAUGGUGCUGGCAGCCUGCGCUCACGCCCUGAAGUGCAGCCUGCGGCCAGGGCGGAACCAGGGGGACACUCCACAGAGCACACAGCGGGAGGUCGUGUCAGAAAACAGAAACAUCCAGUGGGUGUCCCAGUCGAGGAGCCCAGGCCUCCAUGUCCCUCUGGCCCUUGCCCUGGCCAACGGCCUGCUGCUGUGUGUCCUCCAGGAGCCCCUACCGGACCCCAGCAUCCCCUACAUUCUGGCUCUCCUGUCCAGGCUGGAGUCAGUGUCCCACGCACUUAAGGCUGAUCCUGGAUCAGAGGUGACACUGGACGAGACGGACGGAGACUCCGUAUUGACAGACAAAGUGAAGCUCAUCAGUGGCUACCUACAGCAGAGGAUGAGGUCACUGCGGACUCUGGUCCAGGUGCAGGGGGAUUUUGAGGCCAGCGUGAAGGACAUGCUGUCGGGCCUGGGCGGCCUCUGGGCUCAGCUGGAGGAGCUGCACACUGGGGUCACGCUCACCAAAGAGGGGGGUCGAGGCCACGGAGACCUGGCCUCGGCCCGCACGGACGCAGAGGAUUUGUUUGCGGUCCUGGGUGACUACAGGGACAGACUUCAGCGCUGCCAGACUCAUCUGAAGGACGGCACACGACAGCUCCAGGAGUUGGCGUGGAGUCACGCUCACACAAGGAAGCGCGUGAGCUGCAGCACUGAGUCCGUCUGGCCAGAGCUGUUGCUCCAGUCCAACAUUGAGCAGUUUGACAAGGUGCAGGAGAGUUUCCUCUCCCUGGAACAACAGACCUCUACGUUCCAGGCCCACCUGGAGGGACUUGGGAAGGGGAAUGAGGAAGGACAUGCAGGGCCCCUCGCUUACGCCAACGUGGCAAAUUCAUGCCCAGCCUCGCCGGUGCCCAGCCUCGACGGUGUUUCAAGUCAUGUGCCACUGGAGCAUUGUAACUCGACCUGUGCAUCAGCGUCUGCCCCCUCGGUGGACACGGACACAGACGCGGACACAGACCCUCCUCUCUCUCUGUGCGAGAGGUCGGCCCUGCAGUUCUCCUCCACCAUCGGACGCCUGCGCAAAUCUGGAAGGAGGAAGUGAUUUUCUUUUUUCCUUUGUCUGUCAAAUUUACUUGGCACCAUGUGUUUUGUAAAUAGAAGUUUGUUCAUUCUAUCAAAAUUGAGUAUUUAUCACCGUUUGUGAUUACAUGACUUUUCCAUAUGUAGAUUCACGACUCAUUUCCUUUUCAAUGUUUAAUUUCAAAGACGAGCAUGCACGGUUGGCUUUUUUGUUGUUGCAGGGAAUAUCUCGAACACAAGGGGGCACACUCUCACCGGUUAUUAUUCACGCUGACAGCAGUGUCCCACAGCACCCAUUAGACAUAUUAUACAGUUACACCACAGAUAUGGAUAUUUAACUGAGAUCUGUCUUCAAUGGCGCGAGACCUUUCUCCUUCAAUCGACCUUAACCUCAAACAAAUGGCCCUUAAGGGUGUUUUUCUGAAGGUCAGGUCAGCCACAACUUGUGUCUUAAGAAUCUCUAACGUGCCGGAUGAAAGAGAUUCAGGUACAUGUUAGGUGUUUCUUGUUUCAAGUACUUGUUUAUGUCAUCAACCAUCCUUUGUUCUUUAAAAAGAGCAAUGUGAUUUUGGACAUCCGUUGAUGCGUUGCUUUUAUUAUUAUUCGGCCACUUGGUUCAACACCUCAUCCAACGCUCUUUUCCCCAAUCUUUUUUCUUUCCUUCUCCAUUUGUAUAUAACAAAGUGUGUUCUUCGUAUGUGCAAGAGGAAUAAGUUACAUGUUCAAGAAAUACCAGAUUUGUUUCUCUUCCAAAACAAUUUUUUCAUUCUGUCUCUCCCUAUCAGACUGAGCCUUGACUUGAGCUCUUCAAAGCGGGGAUUCCAGGUCGAGGGGCAGCGGGGGGGAGGAAGGUAGAAAGGGGGCAGUGGAGGUCAACGCCGGAAGCGUUUCUGUUAUUACUAAAAAACUGAGCAGCCCUCUGGACCUUUUUGAAAGACAUGAAUGCCUUUGAUCCAAAUUCAAUUACCCCGCCGCUCCACACUGAAGGCAUAGAAGUUGACAGUUUUCUCCAGCGGGUUCCGGACUUCUCUGGCCCGAGCAAACAGAAUUACUGAUGAGAAUCAAUUCAUUCCUGGCUGCCGCGGGUUGCACUGGUUGUUGGGAGACUGUACAGUACGCAUGGCGUGUGGAUGUCGCUUGACCAUGGACUUGCCACUCACCAUCUGCCAGGCCCGGCAUCUGUCUGAUUCCCUCACACCGGGGGGGGGGAUUGGGAGAGGUGGGGCCGACCCCUGGGGGAUCUGGGGUGAAAGGAAUGCGAGCUGAAUGCUGCAGGAUCCGAGCUGUCACAACACCAAAGACACAAAAUGCACCAUGUCUGGACGGAUACAGGGGGAUGUCAAGACGUGGGAGGAGAGAAGGUGUGUGUUUGGCAAUUUGAAGUUAGCGACGAGGGCCGUGAACAGAAAGAAAAAAUGUUAUGACAUCGCACAUGAAUAUGUAACGUUUUCCACAGAAUCCGUCAUGAAUACACAGAACAGAAUGGCCUUGGAUGCUUUUGCGUUCAGGUCCAACAGGCAAAAGAAAAAAACGGAUUUUUUUCCAUUUAAGUGCUUUAAUACAUCAAUAAGGGAUGAGUUGAUUUUAUUAGAUGUGAAUGAAAAGCAGCGCUUUAUACAAAACAACCCCUGCUCAAUGUUCUCGUGGGGAACGUCUCGGCCUCGUCCAGAUGAACUCACGCCUCGCAUCGUUGGCAUGUGAUGUCAUGGCCAGCAGAGGGACGGUGUCGGGGGGGCAGAGGGCACCGGCUAUGUGCUCGCCGCCGAGAAUGUAAGAGUGAGCGAGUGAAAUUACCACUGGCUUUGUUUGGCUACACUAAAAAGUUGAUGACUAGCUUCCUCGCGGUCCACUCCGGUCCCGGAGCAGGGGCUAUUUCAAAGCCAGCUCAAGUGUGUGUUGUUUCAGAAAAUAGGGUUCAUGGCAGAGGUCAAUCCCUCGCCUUAUCCUGACAAUUACUCAAGAUUGGGUUUCGCCGGCGCGCACACGGCACACAUUUGUGCUGAUCCCUCCUCCGAUGGCACUGCGAGACACCGUGCAUCAGUAUGUACGGCUGCUGUCUGUUAUUGACAGACUUGAGGCCUCGUCACAAAACCUUCAUGAGAGCACAGUUUAAAACUUCCAAUUCUAUGGGAAGUUAGUUCCUGUGGACAAAUAAAUACCAAACAGAAGAGGCAGAGGAUACACAGGAGUCCUGUUGGCCUUUUCACUUGAUGGCAGUGAUAUGAUCCUCGGUUAGUAAAUGGCAACAGAGCCCUCUCCAAAAAGCUGUGUGUCUUCAUCUCGUGAUCUGAAGCGCGUAACAAUUACACCAUAUGACCUUGCAGUUCGUCGCACGAUGUUUGUAGAAACAGUGGUCUGACAAAGUGUUGAAAUAGUUUCUAAUUUCCAACCUGCUUCCACUUAAAUAAAACUAAAUUGGUUUGUGAUAGAAACUGCAUGGAAUCGCAACAGUCCCACUUGAUGCGGCCCUCGUUGGCUUUUCGGAGCCAACAGAGGAUAAAAAAGGGUUGAUUUUAUGUCGCGGAGCAGCUGUUUGCCACAGGCUGAAGCUAUAUAAGAUUCCAGUUUGACGUGAUCCCACUGGAUAAAAGAAGAAAAUGUGUUUAUCGUGAAAUGUUUUGGGCUCGCAGACCCCUUGUUCUGAAACGUUUUGUGGGUAUGUGGUUUAUUUAGUCAUCUGUGGGGCUGUGAUAUCAGACAGGGGUAAACCAAACCAACGAUGUACCGAUACGAUACAUACACAAGAACAACACAUACUUUGACAUAUAAUCAUGCUCAUCAAAUGACCAUGCUUUGAUAUAAUAUAGCAACCCAUCAUUGUACACUGUGUAUGCCACAUUGCACUUCAUUGCAUUACUAGUUUUGGGUUUAUAAAGUGCAUAACUUACUUGUAGAUAGAUAGAUAGAUAGAUAAAUACUUUAUUCAUCCCAAGCUGGACGGGAGCAUUGGAGGCAGCGAAGGUGUGUGGGGGGCAGGGAGUGUGGUAGACGAGUAUUUAUGUAUAUUUUAAACUUUCUGUGUUAGAUACUCUACGUGACCAUGCAAAUUGCCCCCUGGGGACAAAAUAAAGUGUUUUUAAUUAAGUUGAAAUACAAAAAGGUUUUUCCUCCAUUAAAACCUGUCUGUGCCAAACCCGAACAAACAUUUGGGCCGGCAGGUGUCUGCUCCACAUGCCAGUCCGCACAAAACCACUGGAUGGCCUGGACGAAUGUUAAUUAUAGCCAAGAAACUGAGCUGUGCUGGCAUGCGAGUCGAACAAAGCGCCGCUCCCCCGGUGAAUCACAAACCAUCUGCAUGGCUGCUAUUAGAGGGUCUGGGCACAGAUAACGGAGGGGCCGCGACGUUUUCUAACCAGAGGCUGUUGGAAACGGAACGGACAGCUGCACAGUUGAGACAAAACAUCAAAAACGCCAGCCACAGAUGUACGCAAUUAGCAACAUGGUAGACAUUUGGGGCGCAAAGGUCCAUAAACGCACAAGUUAUUAUGGUUGAUCUAACGUGUCUGGAGGGGAGCCUGAACUCCACAACAUUAAUGGGGUUUUAAGUUUGGGUUGAAUCAUUCCUCUAUGCAGUCAGUGAAGGCUUUGCUGCGCCUAAAAUCUUUCUCAAACAUUUAAUAUCAAUAU
rnacentral:lncRNA from 1 species